GGGCCCGUAGUCUAGAGGUAGAACACUGCAUUCGCAUUGCAGAGGCGGCGGUUCGAUUCCGCCCGGGUCCA
rnacentral:tRNA from 2 species